GCAGUUUGACCGCAUCCUCAGCCUGAUAUAUGUUGACAGGAUUUUUUUUUUCAGCUCAUGGCAUGAGGGAAGGUUGCUGUCCAGACCCAUGGCCUCUCUUUCCUGCUGUGCCACUACAUUGGAACACUGCAUGAGGGAAUCACUCGUCUGAGAACGGAACAGCUGCUCCACGUUCUGCAGGAGAGUGAACACCUCAUCGGAUUGCCGGUUUAAUGCACCCCUUACAAAUUAUUUUAAUUCCAGGAAUACAGCUCUCUCACUUGCGGUAGUGGUGACUUUUUCCACCAGUGCACACUUGCAUUCAUCACAGAGUGAGAAGCCGAUAACCCUCUUCACUAUGUAUCCUGCUAGGUGGUAGAGGACACAGGACUCGGUCUUUGUCAUGUCAGGUGGUAAUGGGUCUACCAGCUGCUCCACUCUCACAACCUCAGAAGCACUGCAGCUGCUGUUCUGGGUUUCCAGGAAGUCCGCCAAGUGGUCUGAUGCAUCAUCCAGAUAACUGCCAAUCUUGCUGGACCUCCUGAAUUGUUCUUGUGGCCAUCACCAGUCCAGUCUGGACUGGUUUCCAGCUGCCCUGGGGACCGAUCUUCAGGCCCCGAAAAAGAUGGAUCGAGUCGCGGAGGAAGCUGAUGGCCUUUUCAUACUCUCCCAUCUUGAAAUGACUGAGGGCACAAACAACAUUGCGGGACGACAUGAGGUCAAACCAGUGGUCCAUCUUCUCCAAAAACCAUGACGUUGUAAGCUUGGCCACUGGUGGUAGCAACCACUUCCUCGUCACUGCUGCUCUCUUCAUUCCCCGGAACACCUUCACCGCCGUUGCCCACACUGCCUGCGUCUCCUUCAGCUUCCUCCUCCUCACUGUUGCUCCUCUCACCCUCAUCUGCAGGGAUCAGAAUAAGCCAAUAGAAAAUCUACCAGCCAACACCAAAAU
rnacentral:lncRNA from 1 species